UACGUAGGGUCCAAGCGUUAUCCGGAAUCACUGGGCGUAAAGCGUGCGUAGGUGGCUGCUUAAGUGAGUUGUUAAAUCGUGUGGCUCAACCAUAUCGAUGCAAUUCAUACUGGGCGUCUAGAGGACAGCAGAGGCAAGUGGAAUUACGAGUGUAGCGGUAAAAUGCGUAGAUAUUCGUAGGAACACCAAUGGCGAAGGCAGCUUGCUGGGCAACUCCUGACACUGAGGUACGAAAGCGUGGGGAGCGAACAGG
rnacentral:rRNA from 1 species